GACGAACGCUGGCGGCGUGCUUAACACAUGCAAGUCGAACGAGAAGAGAUGAGAAGCUUGCUUCUUAUUGAUUCGAGUGGCAAACGGGUGAGUAACGCGUAAGCAACCUGCCCUUCAGAUGGGGGACAACAGCUGGAAACGGCUGCUAAUACCGAAUACGUUCUUUUGUCGCAUGGCAGAGGGAAGAAAGGGAGGCUCUUCGGAGCUUUCGCUGAAGGAGGGGCUUGCGUCUCGAUUAGCUAGUUGGAGGGGUAACGGCCCGACCAAGGCGACGAUCAGUAGCCGGUCUGAGAGGAUGAACGGCCACAUUGGGACUGAGACACGGCCCAGACUCCUACGGGAGGCAGCAGUGGGGAAUCUUACCGCCAAUGGACGAAAGUCUGACGGAGCAACGCCGCGUGACGAUGACGGCCUC
rnacentral:rRNA from 1 species